AAAAAAGACAGCUACAGAGUGACUAGCAGGCAGGUCAAAUAGACACUGUGGAGAUGCUGGAUAAAGGAUGCUACACGUCCCGGCUGGGACAGAGCAGGACGGCAGGGGAUUUCAUUACGCCACUCAGAAUGGCGGGCAACUGAAAAAACUUAUAAAUUGUUUAUUUCCAGAAUUUUUUACUUAAUAUUUUCAGACUGCAGUUGACCUCAGGACACUAACCAUGGAAAGCGAAACCGCGGAUAAGGGGGAACAACUGUGUUUCCCAAAGUCACAGUGCACUUAGAGGGGGUCCUCCCACCCCAUCCUCCCCUCAGACAGAGACUGGGUGUCGUGUGGGUUUCUACUGGGUCCUCUGAGAGGGCAGCGCCUGGGGUGAAGAAGUAGCCCCCAGACUCUGUCCACCCCCUUCUGCCUCUGGAAUGUAUCAGGGGGAAGACAGGCCUCCAGUUCCAUGAGUUCCUGCCCUGGCCCCGCCCAGCACCCUCAUGCCCACCCCCAUUCUCACUUGGCCAGCACCACUGACCCCAGCGCACUCAGGCACAAGCGUGUUCCCUGUGCAUAUGCUGUCCGUGCACAUACAUCCUGAACCAGGCACACAGAUGCACACACAUACACGUGUGUGUGUACACAUGCACUGUGUUCACACCCCAGAAACACACCUGUGUAGACACAUGCAUGCACAGACACGUUUCUGUACUCGAAGUGGGUUCUGAGACAGUGAGCAGCAGGCACUUGGGUUUUUGGCCAGGAGCGCUGCUGUGCUAAGGCUGGGAGGGCCUGGGUCCCUGCAGGCGUCACGGCCUUCCUUCUUACAGACUCGCUCUAGGUCGCCCCUGCUGUUGACACCCGUGUCAGUGCAGACACAGCCCUCCCAGCUGGGCAGCCGAGUCCGAAGGCUGCCUGCGCGCUGGCCCUUCCAUCUCUGCUCCUGCACACGGCUCCUCUGCAGACCCACUUCAUCGCUGUCACGUGCUCUCUCCCGUUCCAGAAGCCACCCCUGAGCCACGGGAAGCUCCCAGCACCUGCUCUUUUACUCCCAAUUUGCUCCUCCUCUUCCGCCCUCCUCUUUUAUUUCUAUUUGUAGAAGUAUGGAAAGUCAAAAAGUACAGUGAAUAAGAGCAACCCCCAUAUUCCCGUCACCCAGAAUGAAUAACCUGUUAUGUGUGUAGGGUGGUGGGAGGUGGUAUGCAUGUGUGUGUGAGGGGUGGGGGGUGCAUGUGUGGUAUGUAGAGUGUGUGUGCGUGUGUGUGGUGUGAGGGUAUGUGUGUGGUGUAUGUGUGUAGUGUGAAUGCAGUGUGUGGUAUGUGUGGUGUGUGCAUGUAUGUUGUGUGGUGUCUGCGCAUGUAUGGUGUGUUUGGGGUGUGUGUGGUGUCAGCGUGUGUGUGGGCUGUGUAGGGUGUGAAUGUGGUGUGUGGGUGUGUGUGUGGUAUAUGUGUGAUGUGUGUGCAUGUAUGGUGCAUGGAGUGUGUGGGGUGAGCAUGGUAUAAGUGUGUGAUCACGUGUGGUAUACAUGUGUGCUGUGUGUGAUAUGUGUGCAUGUAGUGUGGCGUGUAUGCAUGUAUGGUGUGUGAUGUGGCUGUGAUGAGUUUGGUGUGAGUGUGCAUGUGUGGUGUGAGCGUGUGUGGUAUAAGUGUGGUGUGUGCUGUGAGUGUGGUAUAAGUGUGUGGUAUGAGUGUGUGGUGUGUGAGCAGGUGGGGGGCAGGAAGGGAUCAAGCCAGCGCUGUUGUUACAGCACUGACUUCCCCAUAGGUGAUUUCCGCUGCAUCCCAGACACCCCCUAGCUGGCCCCAAUUUUUGGAAAAGUAAGUGAUUUGGGGGUGAAUUGCACUACCUUUAAGUGAUUCUGAAGUCCUCGGUGGCUCAGAAAUGCAGGGAGAUGACAUUGGAAGCUUCCCUCCCUCUUGUUAGGACAAAUCCUGUGAUUUGCACACCUUGAAAGUCUGGAUCUGGGACCUGGGCAGGCCCUGGCACCCCUGGGGCCCCUGCAGCAGGUGCGGGGAGGGGGCUGGUGGGGCAGUGCACAGGGAUGGAAGGUUGCAGAGUGGGCACAACAUCCCCUGCAAUCCCUAGCACAUUCCUGUGGUUCCGUGGGUGGGUGGGCAGGACAGGGAGAGUCACAGGUGGGAGGAGGCCUGGUCCCCUGUCCGCACCCUGCAUCUGUCCUGGCUGGUGGCAUUCUGACCACCCUCUCCCAUAAUACCAGACUCGCCCCUCCCCCAGGCCUGGCUGUGUCCGGAGCUGCCCUCUGGGCUCUGUGGGCAAUGUGAACAUGUGGCCGCCAGGAAUAGCGCCUCAUAUUUAGACAGCAGCCUCCUCUGCUCCCGGCCUGCCCUUCCAGGCCCUCUGCGGGCAGGCUGGCCAUUUGUCCCAAGUCCCUUUCAGGGUUCUGUUGGUGGAAGGGCCUCCAUCCUGCCCACCCCUUCAGCUGAAGGCUUCUGUCCCAGGAUCACACCCCACGCUCCCAACAGGACUCAGAGGGCGUCGUCUUGCAGCCCAGAAGCCACCGAGUUCUUUUGUGUAAAGUGUAAAAAAUGUUUGCACACCCAGCUAUUUGUGUGUGUGUGUGUACAUUUAAAAUUAUGUAUUUGUUGUAUUCUCAAUAGCUAACGUCUUAAGGCACAGUGUGUGUUUACGGUGAAGUUUAUAACAGCAGAUGUUAACCCACCACGUGAAAGUGUUAACCUGAUCAUGUCAGAGAUGACUUCCUAAUCCUGGGUUCUCAGACUGGCCUGAGUCUGGGUGGCGAUGGAGACAGCACUGGCUUCUGGGAGGUCCCUGCACUGGCCCCACCCAGGGGACCACGGAAGGAUUGGAUCUGGGCCAUCUGGGUCUCCUCUGGCCCCUUGUCCUGGCGCCUGGGAGCAGGGGUGUUGGGAGGAGGAGGCUAGGCUGCUCCCGUGCGCUGGGCCAGGGCCAGGGCCAGGGCCAGUGGCUGUGUCUCAGAAGUCCAGGCUACCUUCCUGCCCCAUGUUCCAGAAAGCUCUCCUGUCCCCAGGCUGCCCUCAUUCAGGUACCUUUUCACACUUGGAUGACUCCAGUGGGCUGAUUCAGUACCGCAGAGUGUCCCAGCAGCUGACAAUGACUGGAACUUGGGGAACGUCUCCAUGGCCAGACAGGGCCCUGUUGAGGUGGCUGAGGCCACAGCUUAACACCAACAAACCAUUUGCUGGUGGUCACAAGACGGGGUGAGUAGCAGCUGCACAUUCUUGCAGAGUGAGCAGGCAUUCCCAGCUGGGUGGAUGAAGGCCCUGCAGCCUGGAUGUGGGAGCUGGAACUGUCCGCUUUGCCCGGCACACACUACUGCACCCCAUCGGCUAAAAUGCAUUGCCUACCACGGGGUCUUCACCCACCCACAGCUCUGCUCCGAUUCCAGGUUGGGCCCUUCUUCCUCUGGCCACUGUACCUUUAUUUUUUUUAGCCUUUGGCAUAUUUAUUACUGUAAAAUACACAAUACAAAUUUUACCAUUGUGGCUGGGUGCGGUGGCUCAUGCCUGUAUUCCCAGCACUUUGGGAGGCCAAGGCGGGCGGAUGACUUGAGGUCAAGAGUUUGACACCAGACUGGGCAAGAUGAUGAAACCCCAUCUCUACUAAAUAUACAAAAAAUUAAUUGGGCGUGUUGAUGGCUACAUGUAGUGCCGGCUACUUAGGGGGCUGAGGCAGGAGAAUCGCUUGAACCUAGGAGGUGGAGGUUGCAGUGAACUGAGAUUGUGCCACUGCACUCAAGCCUGGGCGGCAGAACAAGACUCCAUCUCAAAAAAAAAAAAAAAAGUUACCAUCUUAAACCUUAAGGCUCAUCCAUGUUGUAGCAUGUGUCAGAAUUUCCCUACUUUUAAAAACGGAGUAAUAUCCCAUUUUGUGGAUGGACCACAUGUGUUCAGGUGAGUACCUAGGACUACAGACAGAGAUGGGGUCUUACUAUGUUGCCCAAGCUGGUCUCAAAUUCCUGGCCUCAAGUGAUCCUCCCACCUCAGCCUCCCAAAGUGUUAGGAUUACAAGUGUGAGCCACCAUGCCUGGCUGAGUUAAUUUUUGUAUACGGUGUAAGGUAAAGAUCCAACUUCACUUUUUAAAAAAAUUUAACUGGAUUUCCAAUUUUCCCAGCACUAUUUGAUGGAAAGACUGUCCUUUCCCCAUUAAAUGGUGUUCGUACUCUCAUCAAAAAUCAUCUGGCCAUACAUGCCAGGGUUUAUUUCUGGACUGUUGUAUUCCACUGGUUCAUAUGUCUGUCUUCAUGCCUGUAUCACACUCCAUUGAUUACUGUAGCUUUGUAGUAAGUUUUAAAAUAUGAAAGUGUGAGUCUUCCAACUUUAUUCUUCUUUCCAGAUUGCCUUGAUUGCCGGGCGUGGUGGCUCACUCCUGUCAUCCCAGGACUUUGGGAGGCUGAGGUGGGAACAUUGCUUGAGGCCAGGAGUUUGAGAGCAGCUUGGGCAACAUAGAGACCUUGUUUCUACAAUAAACAAUUAAAAAAAAAUUGGCCAGUCACAGUGGCUCACACCUGUAAUCCCAGCACUUUGGGAGGCAGAGGUGGGCAGAUCACGAGGUCAAAAGAUCAAGACCAUCCUGACCAACAUGGUGAAACCCCGUCUAGCUGGAUGUGGUGGUGUGCACCUGUAGUCCCAGCUACUUGGGAGGCUCAGGUAGGAGAAUUGCUUGAGCCUGGGAGGCGGAGGUUGCAGUGAGCUGAGAUCGCACCACUGCACUCCAGCCUGGGCGACAGAGCGAGACUCCAUCUCAAAAAAAAAAAAAAUUAACUGGGCAUGGUGGCAUAUGCCUAUAGUCCCAGCUACUCAGGAAGCUGAGGCAGGAGGAUCAAUUGAGCCCAGAAGAUCGAGGCUACAGCGAGCUAUGAUAAUGCCAUUACACUUCAGACUGGGUGACAGAGCAAGGCCCUGUCUCUAAAAAAAGAUGGAAAAAAGUUUUUUAAAUAAAAAAAAGAUUGUCUUGACUAUUCAGAGUCCCUUGCAAUUCCAUAUGAAUUGUAGAAUGGAUUUUAAAAUUUCUUUAAAAAGUGCUGUUGGAUUUAGGUAGGUAGUUAUUGCGUUGAAUCUAUAGAUUGCUUUGAGUAGUAUUAACAUCUCAAUAUUAGGUUUUCCAAUUCAUGAACAUGGGAUGUCUUUUAAUGUCUUUUUUAAUGCCUUUCAGCAACAUUUUGUAGUUUUUAUUGUAGAAAUCGUUCACCUCCUUGUUUAAUUUCUAAGUGUGUCAUUCACUUUGAUGCUACAAAUGGACUUGCUUUCUUCAUUUGUUCUUGGGUUGCCAUUUGUUAGUGUAUAGAAAUGAGCUUGAUUUUUGCAGGUUGAGUUUGUAUGCUGCAACUUUGCUGAAUUCAUUUAUUAGUUUUAGCAGAUGUGUGUGUGUGUGUAAUCUUUAGUUUUCGGUGUACAAACAGGAUUUUACUUCUUUUCCAAUUUGGAUGCCUUUGUGUGUCAGCAUGUGUGAGUGAUAGUGUGUGGCAGGGGAGUGCUGUGUGCGUGUGUGUGUGUGUGUGCACGUGUGUUUGAGAGAGAGAUGGGUGAAAUCAGCUGGCUGGCCUGGGUGCUCUCUGGGGCUAUAGAGUACCACUCCUGGGAGUCCGUGCUCCACAGGACAAGGGAGUGAGCUGGAGUUCGGGCAGCAGGUUCACAUUAGGGGCGUUUUCAUAGAUGUCUCUGGAUUUCAGUAGCUGGAUCCCAGCCAAAGCAAGUGGUAGCAGCUUUGAAUUGUUGUAAAAUUUCACUGCUUCGGAAAGACCUCUCUUUCUGUGUGUCUUCUCCACAUCCUAGUCGAAAAAUCAUUUCUGAGAGAGUCUCAGGAAGGGCUGCUGCCCUGCCACUGAAAUGUGGGCCAGUCUGCCUGGGACAGAUCCCUCUUUCAAGCAAGCAUCUGCUCUUCUCCUAGUUCAGUUGGAAACUUGAGUUUGUCCAAGCAAGGUGGCCUCCGGGAGAGGCCAGGUGGAAGUCCUGAUGUGAGCCGAUGACUUUGGUCUCCUUCUCACAAGCAGUUGCCAGCCACGGGCACAUGCACAUUCUUGCCUUCUCUAUCAUUCUUCCCCUUUGGAGGGAGAACCCAGGAGUGCUGUGGCGCCCCGCGGAGGGGGAGAACCCAGGAGUGCUGCGGCGGCCCGCAAAGGGAAGCUGGGGCGGGAGAUGUCCACGGGCGGGGGGUUCUGCCCUGCCCUGCCCCGCCAUGGGUCUCUGCGCCUGCCUGGUCAGAUGGUGGAACUUUCUGGGCACGGAGUGGGGGCUGUAACCACACUUACUGCACAGUUGUUGCGAGAAUCAAAUGUCAGCUGCUUGGGGCCCAGGAGCUCGGUCCAGGUGAAGUCCUUUGUCGGGGGCAGAUCCUGCCGUGAAUCUGUGUGGAUAGAGGCUCGUGCAAGAGGCCAGGCCUCCAGCAGCCCAGGGUACGCAGGUGGUCUGACACCUGCCCUAACACACUUCUGCUUUGUUCCCCAAACCCAGUGGGUUGAUGGAAGCAUUUCCGUCCUCUCCCGAUGGGUACCCCUGUGCUCUUCACUGCAAACCUCCUUUUUAAGAAGGUUGAGUCCUGAGAAACUCUGCGUACACACACAUCCCCCUGUGGCCACCUGUCAGGGUAGCCUGGGUGUCAGUGUCGACAGCUGGGUGGCACUGCCCACGCCGGACAUUCUGCUAAUAGCCAGGCAGUCAUGCCUUCCUCUUCCGAAUCAACCUCACUCGGAAGCUCAACGCAAACCCUGCCAGUCACCCAGCAGCCACAGAUGGGUGAGUCACUGUGAUAAAUGCACGAUGAGGAAAUACAGAGUCAUCUCCCCACAAUUCUGUACUCUGUGUGUGAGGGAGACAGAGAGCGGGGUGGGCAGAGAGACAGAGAACACUGGGGAGGGGGAGGAGGAGUCCAGAAGGAGCUGGAACGGCCUUUCUGGGUGAGAACACAGCAUGUGCCAGCCUGGCCCUGUGGACCACAAGGCUCACGGUGGCCACCUUCAUGGGCCUUCCCUGGACUCGCCUGGUGGGUCCUGAGGGCUUGUGUGCCCCCCCUCACUCUGACCCAGGACGGCCCUAGGGAUCCUUCGGCCUCAGACCUGUUCAGGCAGGACCCAGCAGAAACCCCUCCCCCGUCUCCGCCCACAGGCCUCUUUGCCCUUUACAAAGUUUAAGGGUCACUCUGGAGUUUUUCCUUAGGGGCUCAGAAAGUCAGCCACACUCGGCGAUCAGGGUCAGGCUUCAUGGGGUCAGACAGGCACGGGGCAUGCUAGGGAGUGUCUAGCAGCCACUCUUGGGGUGUGAGGAGUCCUGGUCUGCUCCCCCAACAGCAGGCUUCCAGCUUCUAACGCAAACUUGCUGGCUGCAGAGUUGGUGUGAGAUGUUCGCCUUGGAAGGCAGACGCACCCUCAGGACGUCAGGAAGUCUUGGUCAGGGGGAUUGUGUUGGGGGAGAGACCACCUUAGCUGAAGGGGGUUUCCAGUGUGUGGUUCUGAUCUGGGCUGCUGCACAGGCUCAAGGCUCACAGGACGUCCUUCCUCCAGGGUCAUAUGGGCCCCUGCACUGCAAAUUGAUGGCACCCAUGGGCAGCAGGGCCUCCCUAGACAGCCCAUCACACAAAAGACCACCUGUGGCUGGCCCCUCACCUGGAGGUGGUAGCACAGCCGCAGCCACACUUUACCACCGGCUGGGGCAGAGACCGAGGACCCUGUGCACGGCCGGUCCUUCCCAGGCUCCCACUCGGGGGAGCCCCAGAAACAAGCACACGUAUACUGUUAGAAACAUCCAAGGGGAGGCUGCGUAACUGGAGGACCAGGAGGAGCAUUGUGGCAUCUUGGGGCAUUCCAUCCUGUGCCCUGUGGCAGAGCUGAGCCACGUAGCAGAGCUGAGUCACAUGGCAGAGCUGAGCCACGUGGCAGAGCUGAGCCGCAUGGCAGAGCUGAGUCGGCUUCUGAGAGGGAGCAUCCUGUUCCCUGCAGCCCUGGCCAGAGCCACUAGGCCAGCUGGUCCCAUCCGGAGGAGCCUCCCUCAGGCGAUGGCUGAGGGGUCCCAGGGUCUCUGCUGAUGGUCGGUUUAUCCAGCUAUGCUGCUGACCCUGCCUUCUCUUGCCACCCAAGGGCUAGGCUGCAGUGGGUAGGGGUAGUGGCAGGGAUUGGUGAGGUCCCCCAGGGUGUGGCAGCCACUGGAGGAGGGUGGCUGGGCUCCGGCUGCCCUCGCGUGGAAUCUUGGGCAUGCUGCUCAACCUUCAGCCUCGGUUUCCUCUUCCACGAAAGGGGAAAACAGUGGCUCAGGGGCUGGCAGUUGGACUAAGGAGGUGACGCCUACAUGGUGGCUACUGAUAACACCACAGUCGCUCUUUUGCUUUAGGAAAUUGUCUCAAGGACGUUCCUGUUAAAAUGCAAAUGUUGGUUGUAAAUUAUCCCCCCUCCUACCUGGCACCAGCUGACUCAUCAGAAGGGCUAGGGGCACAGAAGGGGCAACAGUGGGGGGCACAGGGAAGCCCUGGCUCGCAGCCUUGGGGAGAUGGCACUGCCCCUCAGGGACCACAAAGCUGCCACCACGCAUCGCCCCUGCCUCAGAGCUGCCCAUGAGGCCCUCCCGAACUGUCCAGCCAGCCUGGCUGCCUUGGCUGGGCCCCUCAGUGGCCCCUUCACGGUGUUUGUUCUCCCCAGCUCAGCCACAACGCCUGCUGGUUUCCCAUGGCCCUGGGGUGCUGUUGUCCUGGCCCUCCCUUCCCUCUUCUCUGUUCAGGUUGCAUGGCUGUCAUGUUAAUCACCAUUCAAGGGACCCUUAACUUCUGUGUCUCUCACUCCCCUGGACUUGCCUGGAAAGCCUCUCCCUCGAAUUCUCCGUGCCCCGGGCAGCAGCUGCAGCUCCAGCGCAGGCAGAGUGGGAGCCAAGACGAGAGCCCCGAGUGUCUUCUCUGCCCGUGUGGCCGUCCCUCAGGCUCCAGCCACCUCCCUUGCUGUGCCAGGUAACCUGUCCCACACGUCCAUCUUCAGGUCCCCCCUGCCUCGGGACCUUGGCACGUGACGUCCCCUUUCCUGCCAGGCUCAGGCCCUGGCUUCAUUGAGGUCUCCAUGGCGCGGUUUCCUCCCUGGACUCCCUCCGUGGCUGUGGCCUCUGCACACCCAGGCCACCUUGCCUUAUGCUGCAUGGCCUGCACCGCUGCUUGCUGUCAUGGGUAUUUUUUAAAAGGUGAUUAAUAACUCCUUCACCUUGAAAGAGUUGGGGGAUCACCUUAUUCUGAAAACUCAUAAAGGGACAGAAUCAAGUAUGUAUCCUGCUUGUCCUGGCAAACAAAGAGUUGAUGAUGGAAAGUUCUUCAUAGACGGUUAGCUAAUAGGCUGGGCGCGGUGGCUCAUGCCUGUAAUCCCAGCACUUUGGGAGGCCAAGGUGGGUGGAUCACGAGGUCAGGAGAUUGAGACCAUUCUGGCUAACACAGUGAAAGCCCGUCUCUACUCAAAAUACAAAAAAUUAGCCGGGCGUGGUGGCGGGUGCCUGUAGUCCCAGCUACUCGGGAGGCUGAGGCAGGAGAAUGGCGUGAACCCGGGAGGUGGAGCUUGCAGUGAGCCGAGAUCACACCACUGCACUCCAGCCUGGGCGACAGAGAGAGACUCCGUCUCAAAAAAAAAAAAAAAAGUUAGCUAAUAAAUGAAGAAUGAAUUAAAAUAUUGCCAUUUUGCAACUUCCAGUGAAAUCUCAGAUGUGGGCAUUGGUCCUCAAUGGCUGCAGAAAUUAGGAGGCGACAGGCUGUCGGGGGCCUUCACGGUGUGAGGCAGGCUGGCCAUAGAUGGACCCCAAUCGAUCUAAUUAGAAGGACAGGGACAACUAGACACCGUGCGCCUUCGGAUGGGACAUGCUGGGAAUCACACGGCCCCACUGGGACCAGCCUGAAUGAGGCCAGCCUCUGGUUCUACGCACUGGUGUACCAGGCACAGAGGGGAAUGUGCUGAACUGCAGCCAGCCACACAGAGGCCAUGAGACCCGGCAACAACCUGGUGUCCUGUCCUCAACAAAUCAAUGAAAGCAAAAAGAGAAGGAAUCUUGUCUGUUGAUUAAAAAAAAGGUAGAUGAGCUCUAGCCGCCAAACACAGCACGCAGACCUUGCCUGGACCCUGAUUGUCAUAAACUAACCAAACAGACAGAGGCUACCGAAAGCAUUGAUGAGGCAGUUGGGAACUUUGGUGGUAUGAAGGAAUUACUUAUUUUGGGGUGUGAUAAUGGGAUCGUGAUUAUUUUUUAGAAAGAGCUGUCAUUUAGAGAUUCUGCUGCACUGUUGGUGGUGCAAGGAGAGAUUUACUUCAAAAUACACCAGUGGUGCUCGCGUGGGGACGGGGCUCAGGGUGCCAUGGGGUACAGAUGAGAGGCCACUGGUCACCAGCCACUGUGAUGAGGGCUGCAGGGCUGACAGGUACAGGGUGUUUAGUAUACUUUGCUUUCCGUUGGUAUAUAUUUGGCAAUUUCCUAAUAAAAAGUCAAAAAUUGGCCGGGCCCUGUGGCUCAUGCCUGUCAUCCAGCACUUUGAGAGACUGAGAUGGGAGGAUCAUUGGAGGCCAGGAGUUUGCGACCAGCCUGGGCAAUAGAGCAAGACCCUAUCUCUAUGAAGAAAAAAUUGGCCAGGUGUGGUAGCACAUGCCUGCAGUUUCAGCUACUCAAGAGGCUGAGGUGGGAAGACUGCUUGAGUCCAGGAGUUUGAAGUUGCAGUGAGCCAGGAUUGUGCCACUGCGCUCCAGCCUGGGUGACAGAGUGAGAGCCUGUCUCGAAAAGAUUUUUUUAAGUUAAAAAUCAGCCAAUAGGUGGGUUAUUCAUCCCAUAAUCACCAUUAGGCUGAAAAGGUAACAUUUUUCCUUUGGGUCACAAAGGGAGUGCUUGAAAUUCAGGGCCUGUCACUGUAUCCGCAAUAACAGGAACAUGUGGAGACCCCUUACCACGCAUGGAGCUCACUCCUGCUCACAGCGAGCCUGUGGGUGCGGCCCCCGCAGACCCCAUGCAUAGGUGGGGACGUGGAAGCCCCAGGAGGCAGGGGGACAGGUCAGUGGGUGGUCCUGCCCAGCCUGCUCUCCUGCCCUCAUGUCUGCUGGGUGACUUGGCAGUGUGCAGCAUCAGUGCUGGUCCCCCUAGUGGGCCCGGGGCCAGCUGACUCUGCCAGGGAGGGGGUGGGUUUUCAGGCUGAAUAGGCUGGGAGCAGGGACAGAGAAGGAGAGAUGAGAUGGGACUGGGGCUGCGUGGACUGUGCCUGUGUGGGGUUUGUGUCACCUGCUGUGACAUGACAUUGUGAUGUUGGCUGCAGCAGCAGAGGGCAGCUGGGAGGUGCUGUUGUGGCGGCUGCAGCUCCCAGCCUGGGUGUGGCAUGGCCUGAGCAGGCCUGGCACCCUGAGCACCCAGGCCAGUCUCAGCCAGUUGUCCAGAACCUGCAGGAAGUGCUGGCUCCACCAAGAAGGGGAGGGGGGGCCUGGCCACCCCUGAUGAUGGGGAUAGAAGAGGCAGCUGCGGGGGUGGGAACCCGUGCAUGGCAGGGGUAGAACCAGCCACCUAGAAACUGAACACCAGACAGGCACCAAGUGAUGCAGAUUUCCCUGUAUGUUGGUGGCACCUGUGCUGCUGGCUGCCUUGGGGCUGAGUUAUGAUGAACACCACUGGCUCCCAGCAGGACGUGGGACAUGCAGGGCUGAGCUGGAUGUGUGAACUGGGCUUUCCUCGUGGGAUCUGAAUCCUUUCCUGUCCCUGCUAUGGGAAGGGCUGGGGUGCCUGUGGAUCGCUGGGCAAGAGCAGGGGGGCGGCAGGUUUGCGGGUCACAGUAACAGCUGCUGAGGGCUGGACGCUCAUGUUCCCCCAAAACUCAGGUGGAAAUCCUCACCCCCAAGGCAGUGGCAUUAGGAGGUGGGGCCUUUGGGAGGUGAUUAGGCCUGAAGGACAGAGCCCUCAUGCUGGGAUUAGUGCCCUUAGGAAGGAGAGAUCCCUUGCUCCUUCCACGUGUGAGGACACAGUGAGAAGACGCCCAUCUGCAAGCCGCAGGUGGGCCCUCGCCAGAGCCCGGCCACGCGGGCACCUGGUCUGGGACUUCCAGCCUGCAGGACUGUGAGAAAUAGGUUUCUGCUGCUGAGAAGCUGCCCGCCUAUGGGAUUUUGCUAUAGCAGCCAGAAUGGACUAAGACAGUAGGGGAAUGGGAGAUUCCCACUGGAGCUGAGAGCCUGACCUGGGAACGUGACAGGCCAGUGAGGCUGUAGACGUGGCCACGCAUCACUGCUCGCAGGGCUCCCGAACUUAGAGCACGGUGAACCAGACAGUGAUGAAGCAAAGCCACUGCCACGCAACUCCGAGGUUCAGCCAGCAGGCACCGAACAUGCCAGCAGCUCGGUGGCACCCAGCAUGCUCGGUGGCAUGUCCCUUCAGCGGACGGGGCACCAACCCAGCAUGUGUGCAGUGAGAGUGUGUGGUGUGAGCACACCCGGCGGGAGCUCUUCUGGUGCUGUUGUGUGGCAGCAGCAGCUGCGCACAACGCAGCUGACUUUGCCCCCUGCGCCCUUGGUGUCCCCAUAUCUGUGUCCGGUGGGCAGCUGUGAUGGGACAUCUGGAGUUGCUGUUGCCUGUCACAGGAGCAAGCAUUGGUGGGCAGACCCUAGCCCAGAGGAGGCCCCAGGGGCAAGCUACCAGUCUGGGGGCCAGAAGGUGGGGAGGGUGAAGGGCCAACCCUGUUCUGGUUCCUAUCAUGCAUGGAUUUCCAGUGCCCACCUCAUUCCUGACGGACACCGUACUAUCAGGGGUUCACUGGGCUUUGGGAAUGCCUAUAUGGCUGAUUGCAGGGUGGCCUCGGGCAGCCGGUGAUGGGGUCAGGUCGGAAACAGGCGAAAGAGAAGCUGCUUUAGAGACGCUGCCACUAGAAAGAAGGAAAGGCAGAGACUGUCAGUCUGGGGCUGCCAGGAGGGAGUGGUGGCCAGGGUGGGUGACACGCUGCUGUCAUGUCCCUGCAUAGGUCCACCGAUCAGGGAGAAGGAAGGGAGGAGAGCUGUGCUCCUGGGGGCUUUCGCGAGAGCUCCCCUGGCUUGCCUCCUCCCCAGGGCUGGGCAGGGGGAGCUUCUACAGAGGUCAUUUUCUCCUGAAACCCAGGGCCCAGAGUUGCAUCAGCUUGUGAGGGGAGCAGGAAGGGCCCUGAGGGCUGAUGGUGCAGGCCCUGGACAGCCUGGAGAGCUCUCCCACCGGGAGUGUUACUAACCUCCGCCAACACCUAGGCGACCUCAUUUAAUCCUUACAGGAACCCUGAGGGGCAAACUGAGGCACAGAGAGGCUCAGCGACUUGCCUGAGGUCACACAGCUAGCAGAAUUUGGUGGAAAGCCAGGACUCCACCGUGCCCUCGAUGUCUACUUGCCACUUUGUCUUCAGAAUUAGAUCAAUUUGCUACAACUCUGUUUGCCUAGACCUGGGUGGACCUGAGCCGACUUCACAGAGUGAUCUAGUUAGUGAGUAAAAAAAUGGCCCCCAAAGGCUUCUCGCUGUUUUAUGGCGGCCACUUUUCCUGAUAUGCAUUGGUCCAGCUCGACUGAAUGUCUUUUCUUCUGAAUGUGCCCUUAACCCUGGCUCACGUAUUUUGCUGGAAUUUUCAGCCCCUGCUCCUGCCUGUGUUGCCAAAUGGCUGCGGCCAACUGCCCAGACAAGGUUUAAAGUUUCUGUCUGAAGUCUUGGAAAAUGGAUCGUUUAGAGAAUUGAUUUUCAGCAAACUGACCAAUCAAGGUCAUUUUGUGAACUGACUUUCAGAGAAUUGAUUUCCCAUAUCCUGAUCCAAUGACUAAACUUUUAAAAAUGAGUCUGCAAGCCCCAAUUCAGAAGCACGGGAUUUUGCAUGUUAAGAAACAGUUAUGGGUACACAACAUCCUGAGUGUAUUAAAUGCCACUAAAUUGCACACUUUUAAAUGGCUAAUUUUACGUUAUCCUAAUUUCAUUGAAAUUAAAAAAGAAACAACCAACAAAAUUCAUACCCAGAACAUGAAUUCAUUCCAGAUGGAGUAAAGUUUAUGGAGGAAUCUAAUAAAGACUUAAUCUACCAAAGAGAUAAGAAAAAGGACCACAGCCAUUAAAGUAAAUACAUUACAAAAACCGAAUGGCAGAUUCAAGACAAGAACAGAUAGUUAUGAAAAUGGCACAUCCUGGAAAUGAAAAAUACAGUCACCGAGACAAAAGGCUCAGAAGAUGGGAUAGGAUGAAGUACACAGUUGAAAAGAGAAUUAGUGAAGUAGAAGAGAGAAAUACGGAAUUUGACCAGAAUGCAAAACAGAGAGACAGAGAUGACAAUUUCUUUCUUUUUUUUUUUUAAGCAAAGUCUCGCCCUGUUGCCCAGGCUGGAGUGCAGUGGCACCAUUUCCGCUCACUGCAACCUCCACCUCCCAGGUUUAAGCAAUUCUUGUGCCUCAGUCUCCUGAGUAUCUGGGACUACUACAGGUGCGUGCCACCAUGCCCAGCUGAUUUUCAUAUUUUCAGUAGAGAUGGGGUUUCGCCAUGUUGGUCAGAUGGUCUCGAACUCUUGGCCUCAAGUGAUCCGCCAACCUUGGCCUCCCAAAGUGCUGGGAUUACAGGUGUGAGCCACCAUGCCCGGCCUGAGAUUUAACACGUGUGCAUGCAUGUGCACACACAGAGACAUGUGCACACACGGCAACCGAAAGCCCUGGCAGGGCCGGACGUGGUGGCUCACGCCUGUAAUCCCAGGACUUCGGGAGGCGCAAGCAGUUGCCAGUCCUUGGGAUUUUCUGCUGUGUGCGUGGGGACACCCCUUGAGAGGCUCCUGGUGAUGGGGCAGUGACCCUGCUGGUAGGGCAGUGAGAGGCCGUGGCUAUGAAGCCCCCCGGCACGGGGGCUCCUGGUUCUGCCCUUCCAAGGGUGUGGUCUGGAUACUGCUGGAACCCAUUUCCCGCCUGAGAAAUAGGGCAGGGGCGUCCAUCUUGCAGAGUCACUGUGGAAGGUGGAGUCACCCCGCUGUGCCCCUGAGGGCAUCUGCAGUAACUUCAGAGCCACAGCAGGCACCCUGCCCCUCCUGGCCCUGGCCCCACCCCUUUACCUGCCUUCUCCUAACUGUUCCUCUUCUGGAAGUGCCUGGAGCCCAGGAGAGGCCUGUGCUAGGGGCUCCUCCCUGUCUGGGCUGCCAUCUGCGCACUCGUUGGCCCCCCUUCAGUGCAGACAACACACUGUGUCCGGCAGCAGGGCCUUGUCCUCAUCCUCGCCUGUCUGCCAGUGGCUUUGCUGUCCCUGGUCUGGGCCUGACUCUGACACGCAGCCCAUUCUUGCCUUUUGUGAGGGGCAGCUCCGGCCCCUGCGUCUUUGUAAGAUGAAGACUCCAUAAAUAAAUAAAUUUACUUAUUUAUUUAUUUUGAGACAGAGUCUCUCUCUGUCACCCAGGCUGGAGUGCAAUGGUGCAGUCUUGGCUCACUACAGCCUCCACCUCCUGGAUUCAAGCGAUUCUCCUGCCUUAGCCUCCUAAGUAGCUGGGAUUACAGGCACCCACCACCACGCCCGGCUAAUUUUUAUAUUUUUAGUAGAGAUGGGGUUUCACCAUGUUGGUCAGGCUGGUCUCGAACUCCUGACCUUGUGAUCCACCUGCCUCGGCCUCCCAAAGUGCUGGGAUUACAGACGUGAGCCACCGUGCCUGGCUAGACUCCAGAAAUUAGGCCUGCAGGAGAUUCUGGGCUGUGUUGAGGCCUCGGCUGCUGGGCCUGAGCUAGGAACCACGCCACCACCCAGUGGCCCCGCUCUGGCCCUGGCAGGGACCCACGAGCAGGCCCUGCUGCCCCCACCAUGCUCCCCUGGAAGUCAGACCCACCUCCCCUACCCAGCAAGGGCUGUGGCCAGGCAUGAAGCCUGGCUCCCCUGGUCCCCGUGGAGACUCCUGGGCCUCAGGGGUCCCCAUCCAAACAGUGGGAGGGUUGGGCUGGAGCUCACCCAGAAUGUUUGGCAGUGCCUGCAGUGGGGGAGGGUCUUUAUGUCAUCGCUCCUGAGGGUCCUUUGGAGCCUGUUCCUGCUGCUGCGUUGGCAGUUCGGAGCCACACGCCUCUCCCGAGGGUGCCCUGGCUGCCCAUCUGCCCAUGUCCCUCCCUCCCUCGGUCACCCUAACAGUUGCACCCGCAGCACAAGGUCCCCUGAAAACGCACAGCAAGGCCAGAGCUGCUGCAGGCAGGGCACGGCCCUGCGGGUGUUUCAUCUCGUUGUGAGAGCUUUCCAGUUGGCACAGGUAGUGUCUGCUUUCACCCAUCCUUCCAGAAACAAGGGGCCUUGGGCCACGGGAAGAGCGCGUCCUGCACUUCCAUGCCUGUGUGGGAGUGGCCUGUCCACUGGAGACAGCCUGUGCCCCGCUAGCAAGACCACGCUCAUUUUGUGAGAGCUCCCGCCAUCCUGUGGCUCUUGGGCCUGGAACUCGCAUUCCUGCUCCAUUCUGAGGGCCAAGUGAUGUGGCUAGAUGCAGAGAGAGGGGGGCCUGCGGCGGCCGACACCCAAAGCAUCCUUGAUGGCUUUUUUUUUUUUUGAGACAGGCAUGGCAAGGUCCCCCUCCCGCCCCCCGGAUCUGCCUGUGAACACAGGGUGCCCCUGGGGGUGUCCAGAGUGAGAACAAAUUCCGUUUGGGAUAGAGUCUUACUCUGUUGCCCAGGCUGACCUUCAGUGGUGCGAUCAUGGCUCACUGCAACCUUGAACUCCAGGGCUCAAGUGAUCCUCCCACCUCAGCCUCCUGAGGAGCUGGGACCACAGGGACACACCACCACGCCUGCCUAAUUUUUUUUUUUUUUUUUAGAGACGGGAACUUGCUAUGUUGCCCAGGCUGGACUCAAACUCCUGGCCUUAAGUGAUCCCACUCAGCCUUCCAAAGCUGGGUAGCUUUUGAUUGCAGAUUCUAGCUAGGUUGCAGGACGUGAGGAAGUGGGGGUGCAGAAAUCACAGCAACACCCUCCCCCAAGGGUGCUUUCCGUGGCUGUGUACACAGCCCGCCUGGCCGGCUCUGAGAGCAGGGACCCUUCUCUGGAUGCUCCAGGCCAUCGCUGUGCAGGAACCCGGUGUGUUGUAAGUGAAGGACAGUCGUCUUUACCUUGGGGGAGACAGUUGUGGGUGCCUCCCUGCAGGCUGUGGCAUCUGUAAUUCCCCAAAUGUAGGUGCUACGUUGAACAGUCCCUUAGACUUCACCGCAGCACCGUGUGGUCACCGUGCACAGCCUUCCCAGGCCAGCUGCAGAAUUCCAUGGAAAAGGUUUUGAUGAAUGAUUACAUCUCAACGGUCUAGGCCCUCAACCUUCUCUUUUUAGAACAGUGCCCCCCAUUGUGGAAAUCCUCGGUUCAGCCACUGGGAACUCCCCAGUUUUGAGGGCAGGUGUUGGCAGUUUCAUUUGGUCCAACACCAAUUCCACGUUCCUGUGCCCCCUUCAACAGUCUGCGCAGCCUCCCAGUGGCGCAGCCUCCCGGUGACGCAGGCUCCCCGUGACUCAGCCUCCUGGUGACACGGCCUUGCUAGCCGCCAUCCUGUACCGGGCCCAGGUGACACCGUGGGACGUCUGUUAUUUAGGUGCCCCUGGCCCCUGCCACGGGGUUUCCCACUUUGGGGGCCUUGCAUUUGUGUGGCUUCUUCCUUGCUCUCAGUGGUCACCUGGUUGUCGGUGGCCCGCGUCCAUCAGCCCAUCAUCAUUCCGACUUGCUGUUUUUGAUCGUUGGCCGGAAAGCCAGACAGCUGGCCUUGCUGGACCAUGUCUGCAAUGGGAAUUUCGAGGCCGAGAGGGAGGGCUUCAGGGGCCCCUGGGAGUGCAACACGUAAAUGGGGGCUUGCACACGGGGUCGGGUGGGGGGCUCUUGCUCCGAUGUUCCGGGAUCUUUUUUGCCCCUUGUAGACCCACAGGUGUGUGUGCAGGAGCCCUGAGGAGGCCAGAGGAGGCCAGAGAAGGGUGAGCAGGGGUCCGAGGGCACUGCGGUGAGGCCAGGCUGCAGAUGGAGCUGGGGCUCGAGCUCAGGAGCUGGUCUUCCCUGCUGGGGCCGCGACGCCUGCCGCUUUCCUGCCGGCUCUCUGGGUCAAGGCCUGGAAAGGCUUUCUUCUCGGGCUUCUCAUCAGCUUAUCGGCCCAUUUAGGUAAUGGCACUUCCUGUCCAUUAACCUCAGCCACAGUGAGAUCAGCUCUCCACACUCACUUGGCAGGAGGCUUGCAGGAGCCUUCCUAUUUGGAGAGUAAAAAGAGCAUGGCCUCUGCAGCAGCCAGGAAGUGGAAAGCCCUGGCUUCCUGGUUCCAGAGAACAAACAGGGGAUGCGGCUCCCAGAUGCAGCCAAAAGUGCUCUGGGGACGGGGACAGUCGGCCGGGUCCUGUCGCAAGCGGCUGCCCUGUUGCACUGACGUCCUGGCCCCUGAGAACACAUCAGUAGGGCCUGGCCGGACCCUGGGCCGAUGCCACUCUUAGGGGUGAGAUGGGGAGCCUGGCCCAGGCUGAGACCCCCACCCUCCACCCAAAACGUGUCCGGGCCUCCAGGCCGUGCAGAGCACACUGGAGGCUCAAGACGGCACCUCUUCUGUGGGACUGGGCCACAGCCUGUCUGAUGCCUCACUUCUCUGACUCUUGGAGGCAUGGUGCUGGCCCGUCUGUGAGCCCCAGACCCCCUUGUAGAGCUCGCUCCAGGGCCAGGCCCAGCCCCCUUACCGCCUCUCAGCCAGGCUCAGCUAGUGGCCGGCUCUGCCAUGGGGAAGCCCGGUGUCUCUCUCUCUCUGCCUCUACCAGGCUGCUGCGGCAUGGCCCCAAGCCUGGGCGCUAGUAACAGCCUCUGUCCCUCCAGCCUGUACGAUGGCUCAGCGCUACCUGGGGACUCCCUCCAGCCAGGCCAGACAUGCUGGGCAGUCAGGGUCCCUGGGAGCCCCUUGACAGCGACUGACGGCAGGUGGGGGAUAAGUAGCCAAGUGUCUCCUGCCGGCGGGGGCAACUCUGCAGGUGUCUCUGCAGCCUCCCCAGUCCCCCAUGGGUGCCUGCCCCCUGAGUCCCCCAGGGGGCACCUUCCCCUUUGUCCUGACCCCUGCUCCUUCCCUCUCUUCUCCUGGGGUGGCCAGGGGUCACAUGCCAUGUAACCCUGAAUCCUGUCCCAGCCUCUGCCCCUGAGGAACCCGUCCAGCAAGCCAUCCACCCUCACUAAAGUCCAGGCCGUCUUCCAUGGUCCCCUCACCACCUUGUUCUUUCUGGCCCCAGAGGCCGUCACCAUCCAGGGCACAAGGGGGCCUGCCCCUUGGCCAGGUGGCUGCCUGUCCUCUGACCCUGGGUUGUCGACAGGGGGAGGGGAGAGCUGGAAACCGGGGUCAGGAGGAUGCCAGCAGGUCCGUCACUCCCUGCCUGGAUCCGGCCAAGUGCGGGGGACCUUGGCCAGCAUCCUAGAGAGCUGGCGCACCUCCUGGGCCUGACGCGGGCUUCCUGGAUUGCAUAAAGGCUCCUUCUCCUUACAUAGCCAGGGCAAAGGUGCAUGACAACUCUGAGCAAGUCAAAACAACCGUCAGCAGCGGGAAACCUCGAUGAACAAACACCGGGAGAGUGCAUUCCCAGGGGAGUUCCAGGAGGCCCAUGGCCCCUCCUGUACAGCCCUCCACCGCCCAGAGCCUUCCAGCGCCACGUCUUCCCCUUGGAGCAUCUGGAGGCCCCAGACAGCACCCGCCUGACGUUCAGCAGAGGGGGAGACCGAGGCCUGCAGCAGAGUGUUUUGUCAGAUGCUGCUCCCUGACCGGGAGUGAGAGGGAACCCACCUAGAGGUGCCAGAUGGGGUGCCUGGGCAGCGUGGCCUGCAGGCCCCUCAGCUCCUCACAGCCCCUGCCCCCGCCCCCAGCCUUCCUGGGCCCAGAGAUCCCCUUGUUACCCUAGUCCAGGGACAGAGGCUCAGAUGUCAUGCUUGACCCCACAGGUACAGGGUUAGGGGUGAAGGUGGCUGUCUCUUCAUGUCUUCACCAUGGCUUCUCUGCCUUCCUCCUGCUCCUGGUGGCUUAUGUCCUGCCGCUCUUGAUACGCGACUGUGGUCUGUCCUGGGAUGGUUAUGAUGCAUAUGUGCUAUUGUUGUGAACUGUAACAUUGAGGUCUGGCCUUACGGUUGCUUUUGAUUGUCCCUUCUGCUCCCUUUUCUUAUUUUAAUAUUUUACCAUUUUCCAUUUUAAUGUAUCUGUUGUCUUUUUUGGCUAAAUCUCUUUUCAGUUUUAUUUUACUGUAUAUCUUUUCUAAGUGAUUGCUUAGAGAUUACAAUAUACUAAACCUAGCCUUUCACAGUUUCUGCAGAUCCUGCUUUGUGACUUCGAGUGAAGUGUGGAAGCGCUGGAAGCACUUAGACCCGGCCUGGUGCUCUCUGCCCCUCCCCAAGUACCAUGAAGUGAGAGAGCAGCGAGCGGGCCAGGCGCCACUCCUGGAGGACAGCCACGAUGCUCACCUGGACCUGGGCCCCACACACCUCUCAUGGUGCCGCAGACCCCUGGGAGGCACCAACACCCCGGAUCGAGAAGCCCGAUGGGAAAGAAUGUCUGGGAAGGACGUCAUGCCGGAG